rnacentral:lncRNA from 1 species
CUCCCGCAACAUUCCCCAAAAAGUACUUUGGGGAAUAAUUUUGCGGUUACAACAACAACAACCUACGCUUUCGUUUCAUAUAAUGGACCUUUUACUCAAGAUCGAAUUUUCAUUUCAACAGAAGAGAGCCAAACUUGGUAGGUGAGCGUAUUUUAAUGAGGACCUAAAGUUCUGUUACAGGUCCAGAAAUAUACACACCUCUCAUAUACUAUAUAAAGUUGGUUAGUUUGCUGUUGGGGUUUUUUAGAAAGAAGUUCCGCUCAUCUCUCUGGAUGCAUGGCAACCGAAAUAAAUCUAGCAAGUCCUGCUCGUAUAUGCCGCAGCAACUGCAACAGAAGACACUAGAGUUAUGUUCAUAAAGGUCCUGUUUAGAGGAAGUAAAUGGUUUGAUCUCUUCUCUUCGAUAAAGAGCCAGAACUGUUUGGUUAUAAUGUGUAUGCCUUUAUCCGGCCAUGUGCUAUUGGCCUUACUGGUCGAAGAUGAAUUUAAAUGGAAUUAACCGUGCUUAGGACUAUUCCGCCUCGAAUAAACCCUUUAUUUUUAACUGAUCUGUGGUCUUAUCACAAAAUGAUCAGCCGUGUAUCAAGUGUUCAUUUUAACACGAACGAAUUGGUUUCUCUAACUCCUUGCUUUUAAAUUGAAACUAUAUCCAUCUGAGACGAUCAGAAAAUCAAAGAUAAUUUUCUGUACAGAUGCCAGACCAAUGAUGCAGCUUAACAAUAAUGUCCUCCACUCAACAUAGCCGAAGAAUGUUUUAUAUGACCCUCUGCGCGUUAGGGAUUCAAGAAUUUACCCGUGGUAAGUCAUGACUUUCACAAGGGGCGACUCAACCCCAAUAGUUCCCGCCACAGUCGGAUCUUUAUACCGAAACGACCCGGAUAUUUUUGCGGUUACAACAACAACAACAAUAACAACAACUUAACAAUAAAGUCAUUCACUUCCAGUCCUCGACGUAACCAACCAACUUAUCUAACACUUGCCUCCAAGUGGUAGGAAUUUAUUAAAAUACGAGUUGGUCAUUUCCUUGCUACGGCUAGAUGAGUUCAUUGAUGUGAGCUAGUGUUACCGGCGCCCAAAAUGGGGUGUAGCGGAUUGUCAAAAAAAAAAAAAAAAAAAAUACAACUAAAAAGACAUAUUCAUUUUCUUCCUAUCAAUCUCAUAGAUCGAAGUGAAGUUUUUCCUUGUAUUUUUCUUCGUCAAUUCAGUAUUUUGUUGCAUCUUAUUGAUUAUGAUUAUUAAAAAUUUAUUUACAAUAAUUCAAAUAACAUAAAAAGGCGAAUGGAAGUCGCCGCGCCAGUCGGCCAAAGACUGUCACUCCCGCAAUAUUUCUCGAAAAUAAAUUUACGAAAUAUAUUUCUUAUUAUAUAGAAAAUUAUUAAAAAAAAAAAUAUAUAUUUUCUUAGAAAUUUUUAGAAACAAGGAAAGAGUCGCGUGUUAUGUUCUAUAAGACUCUUAGCAAGAUUGCUUUAUACGUCACAGGCAAACACGUCAUUUACAAGACGUCAAAGGUAAAAAGUGCUUGUCUGCCUGGCUGGGCUUUCUUUGACUAAUUGUUUUUUUUUUUUUUUUUAUAAAAUUAUGAGAUUUUAAAAGUUUGCUAAAAAUUUUCAGAUAAAAAUUAAAAGGAUUUAACUUGAAUGGCUGACGGAUCAACCCACAGCCUACACCACAAUUCGUAGCGACCUGAAACUUACAGGCUGAGCUUUGCAUAUGGCGUGAGCACCUGACAUGAAAGGAUUCUGCUGGAACUGUUACCGAACUAUACGUAAAAAAAAAUUUAACUUACUCAUAAAUAGUUGUAUUUACAUGGCAUUUGGUAUACACGUAACUCUAAAGAAGAAUUGAUAUGGGAACCACUUUCUCCUACGGCAAGUGGACGUUAGACCGAUACGUUUGAAAACUUGUAUUUAUACUUGAUUAAUAUAAAUUUGGUAUAGAAGUAACUUCCGGCCUGAAAAAACAUUGGUAGUUACGGUAUCAAUUUCUUAGCAACACUGGAAGCUCUAUGACAAAUCAGCCAAGGCAUUAUUAUUGAACAACGCUUUCAAGUUUCGAAGCAAGGUUUUUUUUUAAAGCUACCUAGUGGUCCGGGCAAGACAUUUAUAUUCAACUUUUUGUUGGCCAAAAUGAGAAGCAAACAUUGUAUCGCCUUAACUGUGGCAGCGUCGGAAUAACUGCGCGAAAUAACUUAUUUAUGGGGACCUUCUCUUAACGCGUCUGCGUUGGCGCUCCAUUGGCAUACUCACUUUCCCACUUGCUGUUCCUCCCGCCACACCAAUCAGAAAUGGGGUUUUUAUAUCUGUUUUGUGUUCACAAUUUGGCAGAAAAACAACCGCAUUGUGUAAAAUAUUCAAUCAGCUGUUACGUAGAGAGUUGCCCAUUUGAUAAAAACCAUUUCAACUAAAGGUAAUAUCCCAAUUUCAACUGGCGUUACUUGACAACUUUGAAAACUGCAACGACCAAAUGGAGUAUGGAAAUGUUGUGGUAAUAAACAAACUCAUACUGGCAAACACUUGAUCAAACUGUCAAUAAGAUAACUACCCAACCAGCGUUUCCGAUGUCUUUUAAUUCGAUUUGAUUCGAUUAACUAUGUCGAUGUCGGCGCAUCGCCUUUGCUAUCGCUUACAGCAUACGAAAAUUUUUAGAGGUAUACGAAAGAGCGAAUAGAAAAUGCUUUGUGAACUCCGUAGUGACAGUUUUGUUGGCCGAUAACUCUGACAUGUUUUAGCGCACUUGUAUUGAGUGUUCGUUAUCAAGAACAUAAAUUUACGCUUGCACUUGGUAGAAAACAAGAUGAGUGUUAUGAGAAGUUAGUGAACAGAGUGUGUACAAUAAAGCAACUCUGCAAGAAAUCUUGGAAGUUUUAUUCAAUAAUCCUGUGGUGAAACUCGAAAUUAAGGUUGAAUUUACGAAAACGUGUCUCCCUGGCAACAAUCAAAGCUGAAAGUAGACGGUCUUACCAUGAUACCACUUAUUUAAGACACAUUUUAAAUGGUACAGGAAAGCGGAAGUAUUUACUGAAAUUACUAAUUUAAUAUAUUAUACCUUAGUGCAAACUAACAAAUAUCAAUUAGAAAUGUUAUAAAACAUUUAAAAAUUUUAUACGUUUAAACAGUACAAUUUCUUUAGCACAUAUAUCACCCUGUACUUACAGCAGCAAAUAACUGCCAUAACUGUUCUCUGUUAGUUUCCGUUUUUAUAAAUGGCGAAUGAGCAAGUUCCGGGAAAGUGUAGAAUGUAGUUAAUGUAUUUAAUAAUAAUACCAAAGGAAAUAUGUAUAAGUAAUACUUUUUCUACAUUUUUAUUUAAAUGUGUCGUGUAGUGCGUCGAAAGGGCAGUGUUGGCUUGGAAUUUGUUGGUGAAUUGACUAUGAAUAUCAUUUCAACUGAUAAAGCAUAAGGACGAGUUUAUAGCAUAUGCGUAUAUGUUAUUCGCUAUUAGCUCUGUUCGGUGAGAUAUGUAAGUAACAAUAAACAAGAAUGAAAUGUCAAAAUGGUGCUCUUUCAGUGCAAAUUUUUCCGAAUUUUCGUAAAGUAUAAUUAAGUAACAAAUGUUACAACCGAAAAGGACUAUUAUUAUAUAUUUACUUAAUUAGUCUAUGAGGUUUAGUUUUGGACAACCAGGUCUACUUUGGCACAGUUAUGCCCCUCAUAUUCUUAUUUUUUACUUAAAAAAAAUUGUUGAAUUCGUAGGCGGGACAAAUCUGAGUAACUGAUUUUCAUGAACUUAUUCAUUUUAUCAUAUUCAUUGGUACCCUAUGAACAAAACAAUAAAAGAAAUAU